CGAACCCGGGCCGCACGCAUGCAAGGCGAGCGCGCCACUGCUUGAGCCACAUCCCCAGCCGGAAUGAUGGCCCAUUUUAAAGAAGCACAGGCUCAGAGAAGUUAAUCAUUUUGCCCAAAAUCACACAGCUAGUAUGUUGGGUGUCCAGGAUUCAAACUGAGGACCUUUGGUACCAAAACCUGGGCUCUUAACCAAUACCAACAUUUGCCAAGUUUAAUUGUUACAAUGUCCAUCUUUAUACAAACCUCAAAUGAGCCAUUGUUUUAGCUAUCUAUUGCUGGUAAUAAAUUAACCCAAAGGGUAGCGGCAUGAAAUCACACAUACUUGUAAUCUGGUUUCUGUGGGUCAGGAAUCUGGGCACAGAUUCUCUGCUCAGGAUUUCUCACAGUCUGCAAUCAAAGGGGAUGGUGGGGCUGAGGUCUCAUCUCCAGGCCCCACUGGGAAGGAUUCACUUCGAAGCCCCUGGGGUUUAUUAGCAGGAUUGAGUUCCCCAAGGGCUUCAGCUUCCCCUGGCUGUUGGCUGGAGGCCUUGCCUGGUGUUUGGCCACAUGGGCCUUUCUACAAUGGCAGCUGGCUUCUUGAGUGUGCAGAGUCCAGAAAGAUGACAGUCACAGUCUCUUGUGAUCUACUCACAGAAGUGAUAAUCCAUCAUUAUGGCUGCAUUCUGCUUGUUAGGAGGAAUUCAUCAGGCACAGCCCACGUUCACAGGCAGAGAUCACACAAUGGCAUGGAGACCAGGAGGCGGAUCCCUGAGGCCAUCUUAGAAAGCUGUCUACCACAGUCAUCUGAUCGUCACAAAAUGUUGGUUUCAGUUUUGUCUCUGCAAGCCAGAUCUAGGUAGUUUCUCAUCCAUCCAUCCAACUAUCCAUCAUCCAGGGUCUGUCCAUCUGUCAGUCCAUCCAUCCAUCCAUCCUUCAUUUCAUCCAUCCAUGGGCCCAUCGGUCCAUCCAUCCAUCCAUCCAUCCAUCCAUCCAUCCAUCCAUCCCUUCCUUCAUUCAACAAACUUUUCAGAACAUACAUUAGGCUCAUAAGAUAUCAGAAUAACUGAAUUAUUCCCUCUUCCACUUGACUGUGCUCUGCCACCAAAGGCUCCCAGUAGCGGUCUCACCUAUGUGGGGCUUGGGGAGGCGUCGCUGUCUUGCAAGAGCCUCCUUCUCCUUCCUCCAGCUGCCCUCAGAUUCCACAUUUCUGAGACCCUAGUCCUGCUCACUCCCUUUGCUGGGCACAGCUCAGAGCUCUGUCUCUACUAUUUGGCUUUCCUGAUGGAGUCAGAGGCAACAGGGUGGAGUAGGAACUGAUUUCACACUCCUGGGUGGGCAGGGCAGGGAGAGGCGCAGGAGUGGCUUGAGGCCUGGUCUCACUUGCCUGUGAACCCAUCUUCCCACCCAGCUCCCCCAGACCUAGAGCCGAGGAAGUGAGCUCUGAGUAGAGGGUGGCAUAUCAGUGG
rnacentral:lncRNA from 1 species